AAACCCAAAACAAACACAAUAAAGAAACAGGAAAAAGAACUCAAACCCCAGGAACUAUGUUUCUGUCACUGUGAUGCGACAUGUGUGGGCUUCCAGCAGUGCAAUGAGCUGUAGCUCAUGUCUCUCACACACUCGCUCCUGAAGGAUCAUAUCCUGCAGUCUUGAGCAGGCCUCAGGGAGUUCUGUCAUCUGAAAAAAGCUUUGACCUCAUGAAAAGCCACAAUAUCAGAGCUAUAAGUAUGAGACCAUCCCACAACAGU